rnacentral:misc_RNA from 1 species
AAUAAUAAUAAUAAUAAUAAUGAAAGAUUAGAGGCAAAUUAUUAGGGAUUUGUCUUGAUAUUUGGGGAAAUUACUAUGGUUGUGUUUCAAUUUUAGGUUGUGGUGGGAGAAACGUUAAGGAAGAAAAGAAAUAGAUUUUGUGAAGAUGAAGGUGGGGAAGAUUUGAUUGGAUUUCAGAACUUGACAAACAUAUUCAAUAGGUCAAAAAUCAUUAAAAAAAUAAAGACAAGCUAAUCACGCCUGGUAACAUUAGUUGUACACUUGAUAGAAUAUCCAAUGAACAAAGAUAAUGAAAGAUACAGCUUGUAGGAGUGAAGAAAUGGUAGAAUCCAAGGCUAAUGGUUUACUAUUAUAAUUAUGGGUCAAAUGAAUCUCAAUUUUAUAGAGUAGCAAUAAUAAACUUAUUGAUAGUUUCACCAAUUAAAUAUCGUUUCAGUCUUAAAAGUAGUCAUGAUUAGGGAAAAUAAAAAUAAAAUCAAAACGAGAAAGACUAACUUGAAUUUAAAAAACAUAAAGUGAACUGAAAAUACGUAAUCACAAAAAAAUAGCAAACCAGUCAGCUUAAAACAGAGGAUAAAACAACUUUACACAAAAAUAAUAGCAAUUACGAUGAGCAGAGAAGAUUGAACCCUAGAACUCAAAAAACAUAAGUGGAAAACCGGAGAAAACCCUAGGUUCGUGGCUCUAUAUUUUGUUGUCAAUUAAAUGAGAUUUGAGGACUUAAUUUAAAUUAUCACAAUUAAUGUAGAAAAAUAUGCAAUUAAUAGCUCAAAAUCCCAGCAAUGGAAAUCAAUUUAUAGGAAAAUAAAUAAAUAAAAAAAAGUAAUUGAAAGCGUGGCAUAGAGUUUACCUUGAUAAAUUAAUACACUAAAAUCAAAUGAAGCCCUAGUAGAGACACAGCUAAAUUCUCUCUUCAGUGACUGAAU